rnacentral:rRNA from 1 species
UACGUAGGGACCAAGCGUUGUUCGGAUUUACUGGGCGUAAAGGGCGCGUAGGCGGCCGAUCAAGUCGGGGGUGAAAGCCUGUGGCUCAACCACAGAAUUGCCUUCGAUACUGUUUGGCUUGAGACCGGAAGAGGUUAGUGGAACUGCGAGUGUAGAGGUGAAAUUCGUAGAUAUUCGCAAGAACACCAGUGGCGAAGGCGGCUGACUGGUCCGGUUCUGACGCUGAGGCGCGAAAGCGUGGGGAGCAAACAGG